GAUGAACGCUGGCGGCGUGCCUAAUACAUGCAAGUCGAGCGAAGCGGGGACGGGUGAGUAACACGUGGAUAACCUCCUAUAAGACUGGGGUAACUUCGGGAAAACGGAGCUAAACCCGUUACUUAGAGAUGUAUCCGCGCUGCAUUAGCUAGUUGGUAAGGUAACGGCUGACAAAGGCAACGAUGCAUAGCCGACCUGACAGGGUGAUCGGCCACACUGGAACUGAGACACGGUCCAGACUCCUACGGGAGGCAGCAGUAGGGAAUCUUCCGCAAUGGGCGAAAGCCUGACGGAGCAACGCCGCGUGAGUGAUGAAGGUCUUCGGAUUGUAAAACUCUGUUAUUAGGGAAGCGGUACCUAAUCAGAAAGCCACGGCUAACUACGUGCCAGCAGCCGCGGUAAUAC
rnacentral:rRNA from 1 species